GUUUUAUUAGGUCUAAAGCCACUCGCGCUGCGCGCUCGUGGCUUUAAACCUAAUAAAACACUCCUGCUCGUUUUUUAAAUAGUACUUCAAAAACGAUUGAUCUAGUAAGUUCAUUGGCAAAGUAAUUUUCAAAAAAUACGUUGUGUAAGUCGAGAAAAUGAAAGUUAAAGUUUAUGUAAAUCAAGGGAAAUCUCUAUCACAUAUAAAGAUACGACCGAGGAUACGACUUUUAUAGUUUAAUGAGUUUUUGAAGAUAAUUUCCAACGUAACAUGUUACUGCAACCAACGUUCGUUAAAACCGCUCAUAAAUGACACGCUUCACGCAUUAAUUGCUCCACACCUAACAUGCAACACGAUGCCGUUUUAUUGGAUUAAACAUUUGAUUUUCAAUCUUUUUUAUAAGACAGCGGAUUCAGAUUGAGAGUUUGUAUACGCAACGUGUGCCAGAAAUCUCAUUUUGUUAAUGUACGGUUAUUCAACCCUACUUGGUCUAAUUUCGUUUAAAAGGUGACCAACUAUUUUGACCAUAUAUUUUCCAUUUUGACUACCUUUUGAACUUAAACACCCAAUACAACGC
rnacentral:lncRNA from 1 species